AUUGAACGCUGGCGGAAUGCUUUACACAUGCAAGUCGAACGGUAGAGGGGGCAACCCCUUGAGAGUGGCGAACGGGUGAGUAAUAUAUCGGAACGUGCCCAGUCGUGGGGGAUAACGUAGCGAAAGUUACGCUAAUACCGCAUACGAUCUACGGAUGAAAGCGGGGACCGUAAGGCCUCGCGCGAUUGGAGCGGCCGAUGUCAGAUUAGCUAGUUGGUGGGGUAAAGGCCCACCAAGGCGACGAUCUGUAGCUGGUCUGAGAGGACGACCAGCCACACUGGAACUGAGACACGGUCCAGACUCCUACGGGAGGCAGCAGUGGGGAAUUUUGGACAAUGGGCGCAAGCCUGAUCCAGCAAUGCCGCGUGCAGGAAGAAGGCCUUCGGGUUGUAAACUGCUUUUGUACGGAACGAAACGGUCUGGGCUAAUACCCCGGGCUAAUGACGGUACCGUAAGAAUAAGCACCGGCUAACUACGUG
rnacentral:rRNA from 1 species